CCUACGGGUGGCAGCAGUGGGGAAUAUUGCACAAUGGGGGAAACCCUGAUGCAGCGACGCCGCGUGAGUGAAGAAGUAAUUCGUUAUGUAAAGCUCUAUCAGCAGGGAAGAAAAUGACGGUACCUGAGUAAGAAGCACCGGCUAACUACGUGCCAGCAGCCGCGGUAAUACGUAGGGGGCAAGCGUUAUCCGGAUUUACUGGGGGUAAAGGGAGCGUAGACGGCAGUGCAAGUCUGGAGUGAAAGGCGGGGGCUCAACCCCCGGACUGCUCUGGAAACUGUACGGCGGGAGUGCAGGAGAGGUAAGUGGAAGUCGUAGUGUAGCGGUGAAAUGCGUAGAUAUUAGGAGGAACACCAGUUGCGAAGGCGGCGUACUGGACUGUAACUGACGUUGAGGCUCGAAAGCGUGGGGAGCGAACAGGAUUAGAUACCCGGGUAGUC
rnacentral:rRNA from 1 species